ACUACGACUCUCGACAAUGGAUAUCUCGGCUCUCGCUUCGAUGAAGAACGUAGCGAAAUGCGAUACCUUGUGUGAAUUGCAGAAUCCCGUGAAUCAUCGAAUCUUUGAACGCAAGUUGCGCCCGAGGCCUAGGCUGAGGGCACGUCUGCCUGGGUGUCGUGAAA
rnacentral:rRNA from 3 species